GCUGCUGCCUCCAGCCUUCUCUCUCUUCAGCUCGGGACCAGUGGGUGUGGUGAGCGGCCCGGAGGGCUCUCGGGUGGAGGCCAUCAACAGAAUGACCCCAGAUGAGAGCAGGACAAGUCCAGGCUCGGACGCAUGACCUCCACUUUGCCCAUCAGGCACGCUUGUCAAAAGACCUCAGUUUUGGAUUCAGCCUGUGAGGAACCCGACCCAUCAGCCCCUCUCUCGUGAGUGCCCAAAGAGGUCAGAGGAGGAUACCAGCUCUCCUAGAACUACAGUGACAGCUGCCACCUGGCUAGCAAACCUGGCUCCUCUGCUCUUAAGUGCUGAGUCAUCUCUCCAAACCCCUUUCUGCAAUUUUUAAAGAAAUCGUAGUACCCAGAAGGAUGGAUCCAGGGAUGGUGUCCACAGAAGUGUUGGCGUCAGCAAAACAAGGACGGGGGUCGGAGCGGAUUGGGAAAGAGCUGUUCUCAGAGCACAGGCAGGAAGGACGAGGAGAAAACAAUUGUGAAAUCCACAGCAACCGCACAAGGCCUUCUUCCCUGUUCUUCUGUAGGUCUGAUGGUUUUGUCCUCGUGUGUGUAUGCUCCUGUGGGUGCAGGGGUGUAUAUCCGAGUGUGUGCAUGGAGGUUCGUGGACAACCUGCCUUGUCUUCCACAGACACCCUGGCAGCCUCCUCCGGGUUAGUCUCCCAUUGGCUGGAGCUCACCAAGAAGGCCGGACCACUGGCUGGUGCGCCUGGGAUUGCUGUCUGAGGGCGUGCCUGGAGAGGUUACUUGGUUUCUGGGCACCCAUCUCAGUUCCUAGUGAUUGUGAAGUAAACGCUUCGGUACCUGAGCUCUACGGAUCUGAUUUUAUUACUUUUUUUUUUUGGGGGGGGGGAGCUUUUAGCUUUAAUUUCCUUUAUAUCUGUUUAAAGCCCCAAAUCUGCAUGGUUCCUUUUCCUCGGUGGGAAAUGAGCAUUGUCUUAGGGUUUCUAUUGCUGUGGUAAAACACUAUGAGACGAGCAAAAGCAGCUUGGGAGGGGAGGGUUUAUUUCAGUUUGUAGUUCCUCAGCUCGGUGCACCCUGAGGGGAGGCAGAGGAAAGGAAAGGUGCGGGGAGGAGAAAGGGUCCUUCUGGAACAGUCCGAGGCAGCACCCCUGGCUUUGCAGGAGAUUGUGCGCACAGCUGCUGUUCGGCGUUGGCUUAAGCGGGCGAUGAAGGACCGAGCGUGAGGCAGGCCCACCGGGACAUGGCGUCCACCGGGAUGUGGCGCCGUGGGGGCGAGGCCAGGGACCCUCAGACAGCUCCUCGAGCUCGGCUGAGGAAGUUUCCCCACUUAAGGUUCACAGACCGCGAAUUCUUAAGUCCGAACGAUGGUGAAAGAAUCAGACUAACUUUGUAACCUAUGCUUCUUUUAAUUGCCUUAUAACUUAUAUUUUCAAAUUUUAGGCCCAUGUUAACUAAAGCCUCUUAGAGCUUCCCCAGAGAGCCGAGGAAUGUAAAAGUUCCUGACAUUAGCCACCUGUGAGGGCAGAGAUAAGGAAGAGAACAAGCAGAGAUCUCUACUAAAUGGAGAGAAAAUCACCGGCUGAUGUCUGGGAGAUGAGCUUUGUUUGGAAACUGGGCCAAAUGGCUCCAAUCCUUCUCCUGACCUUUGAUCCAAAGCCUGUAGCCCCCACUCCUCAGAACAGACAUGGAUGAGUUAAUCACUCUCUCACCUUUAACUGCAGCUAUAUCUCAUAUGGCAGGAAAUUCCAAACUGACUUGAAAUUCCAAACGACAGGGCUGACCAGACCUAAGGGUGCCCAGAACCAACCAAUUAUUUUAAAAGUUAAAUACCUCAUCCAAUCCUAAAUUGCCAAGAUUGCAACCCCUGGAAUUUCCCGUGCUUUGUCUUUUAAAAACCUAAGGUCUUUGUCUCCCGGUGCCACUCCUUGCUGACCAGCAGGGGUGACCCCAUUGCACAAUGGUCAAGAAGAACCUCUUGCGAUUUUGCAUCAAUGGAUGAUUAGUUUCCUGAGUUCUCUUCAUACCUUCUUAUAUUUAGGCUCUUGCUGGGCCUAAUGAUGGCUGCUUUUUGUUUCCUUCAGUCCGCACAGCUGUGCCGGGAGUUUAGCUGCAGGCACUGUUUUCAUGGUAAAACAGCUCACUUGCUGCUCUUCCUCCUGGAAACUCACGGCAGUGGGGUGGGACGCAGUGAGGUGGGACCUCGGGCGGAGCACAGGGGACUUGGGAGGAGCACCUUGGGGGGCCGGGGGGCUGCCCAGCAGAUCCGAGUGCUUGAGCUAUGACAGAGACGCGCUGAACCUGAGUCCCAGCCCUAUAACACGGCUGCCUGUCCUCGUACCCCUAGCGUUUCUGGGUGGGGACAGACGCGUCCCAAGAGCUUGAUGCCAACAAACAGCAGAAAGGGCCCACUUCUGGUCCACUGAGAUGACCUGUCCCGGAGGAACAGAUGAGAGACCAAAAGAUAAGCAGCGAUUGUUAACACUAUGUAGAGUAGGCGCAGUAUAGCAGUAAGUUCCCUGAGGGGAGAGCUACCUCGCUGCAUUCUUUCCUGCAUUCUUUCCCGCCUUCCCGGUUCCGGGUGGGUACGUGACUCGGCUCACAAUCUGCCAUCCCGCCUUCCCUGUUCUGGGUAUGUGACUUAACUACGGCUUUGUUCAAAUCACCAAUCAGACCCCUGUAACUAUGCUUCUCGCUUCUGUAACCGCGCUUCCUGCUCCUGAGCCCUAUUAAAACCCGUCACCCCAACCGAGAGGCGCGCAAGUCUUCCGAGAGACUUUGUCGCCCCGGGUACCCGUGUACUCAAUAAAGCCUCUUGCUGGUUGCAUCCGAACAA